AAUAGAUACCCCGGUAGUCCACGCCGUAAACGAUGAGUGCUAGGUGUCGGGGGGGUUCUACCCUCGGUGCCGAAGGUAACCCAUUAAGCACUCCGCCUGGGGAGUACGGCCGCAAGGCUGAAACUCAAAGGAAUUGACGGGGGCCCGCACAAGCGGUGGAGCAUGUGGUUUAAUUCGAAGCAACGCGAAGAACCUUACCAGGGCUUGACAUCCCGCUGACCGCUCCAGAGAUGGAGCUUCCCUUCGGGGGCAGCGGUGACAGGUGGUGCAUGGUUGUCGUCAGCUCGUGUCGUGAGAUGUUGGGUUCAGUCCCGCAACGAGCGCAACCCUUAUCGCUAGUUGCCAGCAUUCAGUUGGGCACUCUAGCGAGACAGCCGGUGAAAGCCGGAGGAAGUGGGGAUGACGUCAAAUCAUCAUGCCCCUUAUGUCCUGGGCUACGACACGUGCUACAAUGGCCGGUACCAUGGGUCGCCAACCCGCGAGGGGGAGCUAAUCCCACGAAAACCGGUCUCAGUUCGGAUCGCAGGCUGCAACUCG
rnacentral:rRNA from 1 species